rnacentral:rRNA from 1 species
GAGCAAGCGGACCUCAUAAAGUGCGUCGUAGUCCGGAUUGGAGUCUGCAACUCGACUCCAUGAAGUCGGAAUCGCUAGUAAUCGUGGAUCAGAAUGCCACGGUGAAUACGUUCCCGGGCCUUGUACACACCGCCCGUCACACCAUGGGAGUGGGUUGCAAAAGAAGUAGGUAGCUUAACCUUCGGGAGGGCGCUUACCACUUUGUGAUUCAUGACUGGGGUGAAGUCGUAACAAGGUAACCGUAGGGGAACCUGCGGUUGGAUCAC